GAUGAACGCUGGCGGCGUGCCUAAUACAUGCAAGUCGAGCGAACAGACGAGGAGCUUGCUCCUCUGACGUUAGCGGCGGACGGGUGAGUAACACGUGGAUAACCUACCUAUAAGACUGGGAUAACUUCGGGAAACCGGAGCUACUACCGGAUAAUAUCUUAAACCGCAUGGUUCAAUAGUGAAAGACGGCUUUGCUGUCACUUAUAGAUGGAUCCGCGCCGCAUUAGCUAGUUGGUAAGGUAACGGCUUACCAAGGCAACGAUGCGUAGCCGACCUGAGAGGGUGAUCGGCCACCCUGGGACUGAGACACGGUCCAGACUCCUACGGGAGGCAGCAGUAGGGAAUCUUCCGCAAUGGGCGAAAGCCUGACGGAGCAACGCCGCGUGAGUGAUGAAGGUCUUCGGAUCGUAAAACUCUGUUAUUAGGGAAGAACAAAUGUGUAAUUAACUAUGCACGUCUUGACGGUACCUAAUCAGAAAGCCACGGCUAACUACGUG
rnacentral:rRNA from 1 species